rnacentral:rRNA from 1 species
CAACAGGGAUUGCCCCAGUAGCGGCGAGUGAAGCCGGCAAGAGCUCAGAUUUGAAAUCGUGUUUCGGCACGAGUUGUAGAGUGUAGGCGGGAGUCUCUGUGGAGCGCGGUGUCCAAGUCCCUUGGAACAGGGUGCCUGAGAGGGUGAGAGCCCCGUAGGGUGCUGCGCGAAGCUUUUGAGGCCCUGCUGACGAGUCGAGUUGUUUGGGAAUGCAGCUCCAAGCGGGUGGUAAAUUCCAUCUAAGGCUAAAUAUUGGCGAGAGACCGAUAGCGAACAAGUACUGUGAAGGAAAGAUGAAAAGCACUUUGAAAAGAGAGUGAAACAGCACGUGAAAUUGUUGAAAGGGAAGGGUAUUGGGCUCGACAUGGGGGGUGCGCACCGCUGUCUCUUGUAGGCGGCGCUCUGGGCGCCCUCUGGGCCAGCAUCGGUUCCUGCUGCGGGAGAAGGGGCUCCGGAAAGUGGCUCUUCGGAGUGUUAUAGCCGGGGCCAGAUGCCGCGUGUGGGGACCGAGGACUGCGGCUUCUGUCUCGGAUGCUGGCAUAACGGCGCAAUAC